GAAUUAGUUCUUGUUGCAACAAUAUAAAUAAUUUAGUCUCCAGAAAGUUUGCAACAAACAAUAUAACUUGAGAAUUCAAUGAAAAAUUAAAAAUCACAAGCAUUGAAUAUUUUUGCCAAUGAAAUAGUUGGAAUGAACUGAAAAUACCAAGGAAAUGUUAUACCAAGGACCUCCUUGCAUUAUAAUCCUUAGGACAAACCUGUAACCGCGUAAUUUACCGCGAAAAUUUGUUUACAAAAUCGGAACAUAAUAAAUUUAAAUAAUUUGUUUUUCUCUUAAGCAUAAUUUUAAUCUCAUGUAUAGUAGUAUCGGAAAUUUUGUAAAGAAUUUGCUGACCUCUGAUCUAUGUACUAAUUCAUAGUACCUUUGGAGUAAUUUUAACACAAGUAUAUGCAGGUCUGCAGUGUGGAAAAGAUUAAAGUUUUUUACAAGUAUUAUAAGAAGAAAAUGUUCUAAAUCACUGUGAUUUUGUGAAGAUCAGGAUUUUGGGCAAUAUGUAUGUUGUAAAAGAAGAAAAUGUUCUAAAUCACUGUGAUUUUGUGAAGAUCAGGAUUUUGGGCAAUAUAUAUGUUGUAUGAGAAGAAAAUAUUCUAAAUCAAUAUCUUUUUGUGAAGAUCAGGAUUUGGGACAAUAUGUAUGGAAAAUAAAGAAAGUCAGAAAAAGAAGAAAGAUGCUUCUGUGUAUCACUUUGUAAUGAAAAAUGACCUGUAUUCAUAGUUCAGUAAACAUAUGGUGACAUCCAAUAGAUCAGUUUUGUUUAAAACCAAUUGUUUGUUAUGUGAAUUCCCCUGCCUGCUAUUAUUGAUAUUUGUAAAGACUCAUCUUUAACAAGCUUUAAAAAUAAAAAAAUAUAUAUAAAUGGA
rnacentral:lncRNA from 1 species